rnacentral:tRNA from 1 species
GUGAGUGUGGUGUAGCGGUAACAUAAGACUCUUCCAAAGUUUUGUCGCGGGUUCGAUCCCCGUCACUCACUC